GGGCUCACCAAGGCGACGACGGUAGCCGGCCUGAGAGGGCGACCGGCCACACUGGGACUGAGACACGGCCCAGACUCCUACGGGAGGCAGCAGUGGGGAAUAUUGCACAAUGGGCGAAAGCCUGAUGCAGCGACGCCGCGUGAGGGAUGACGGCCUUCGGGUUGUAAACCUCUUUCAGCAGGGAAGAAGCGAAAGUGACGGUACCUGCAGAAGAAGCGCCGGCUAACUACGUGCCAGCAGCCGCGGUAAUACGUAGGGCGCGAGCGUUGUCCGGAAUUAUUGGGCGUAAAGAGCUCGUAGGCGGCUUGUCACGUCGGUUGUGAAAGCCCGGGGCUUAACCCCGGGUCUGCAGUCGAUACGGGCAGGCUAGAGUUCGGUAGGGGAGAUCGGAAUUCCUGGGUGUAGCGGUGAAAUGCGCAGAUAUCAGGAGGAACACCGGUGGGCGAAAGGCGGAUCUCUGGGGCCGAUACUGACGCCUGAGGAGCGAAAGCGUGGGGGAAGCGAAACAGGGAUUAGAUACCCCUGGUAAGUCCACGCCGUAAACGGGUGGGCACUAAGGUGUGGGGCGACAUUCCA
rnacentral:rRNA from 1 species